AUACGUAGGGGGCGAGCGUUGUCCGGAAUGAUUGGGCGUAAAGGGCGCGUAGGCGGCGCGGUAAGUCUGGAGUGAAAGUCCUGCUUUCAAGGUGGGAAUUGCUUUGGAUACUGCCGCGCUUGAGUGCAGGAGAGGUUAUCGGAAUUCCCGGUGUAGCGGUGAAAUGCGUAGAGAUCGGGAGGAACACCAGUGGCGAAGGCGGGUAACUGGACUGCAACUGACGCUGAGGCGCGAAAGUGUGGGGAGCAAACAGGAUUAGAUACCCUGGUAGUCCACACUGUAAACGAUGAAUGCUAGGUGUAAGAGGUAUCGACCCCUUGUGUGCCGGAGUCAACACAAUAAGCAUUCCGCCUGGGGAGUACGGCCGCAAGGUUGAAACUCAAAGGAAUUGGCGGGG
rnacentral:rRNA from 1 species